CAAAUGCAUCACACCCGAACGCAAUUUCACUCUCACCUCAAACCUUACCACUAUUUUCCCCUCACAGCUGCCUCGCCCGAAAUGCAAAAAACCUCUCACGAAUCAUCUCAUGUGAGGAGAUCUAAGGCUACAAGAUUGAAGCCCACCGUACGCAGCAGAAUCGGCUGUCGCUGAGUCCUUCUUCUCCGGCAAAAUCUCCGACUGUAGGGGUUCCAGCCUCGACUCGAUUUCGACAAAUUUCAGUUUCGCCUCUCCACUUGCCGAUCAUUUGCAGGACCCUGAAGGUGCGUUUCUUAUACUUUAUGUGAUAGAAGCAAUUAUAUAAAUAUUAAUAUUUUUUGCAUAUCAUAGCUUGAUGCGUUGAUUUGGCUCGUUGAAUCCGAAGGGUCAGAGGAGAGCUCUUAAAAAGCAGCUGGAGAAAAACUACAACAAAAUAAAGUUGUUCAUGACCUUGUAUCAAGAUUGUUCCUUUCGUAGUUUCCAUGCCUCAAGUAAGGGUGGAGGGGUGGCGUGGGGAGGGGAAAGUGGGAGAAAGUGAUGAUUAAAGUAUUAUUGUGAUCUUCGAUUUUGGGGUUUUUGAUUUUGUUCGGUAAUUUUUCACAGAAAAUUGAAUGAUGAAGAUCACUUUUUUCCAAAAUAGACUAUAGAUCUCGUGAUAUUGGUGUUGAAUUUUGAAAAGACUAUAGUUCAACCCAAACAACACCUAGAGGGGAGGGGGUGAAUAGGUGUUUAUACGGAUUUUAACAAUUCAAUCAACUUAUGCAACAAGUCACAUAAAUUAAACUUUGUCCAGAUUCAUUCACAUGAUUUAACUACCUAUGUUGAAUUUCCAAUUGAAUUAAAAAUGACAGAAAGCAAUAAAUAACUC
rnacentral:lncRNA from 1 species